AUGCGCUUCCCUGCUAUUUCUUGGUGUGACUCUGGCUCUGGAGCUGUUUUGGCACGGUCAUCUCAGCCAAUCGCGAUGAUGGAUCAUAACGAGGACGUGAAACUUGUAUAUGCCUUUUGCACCCCAAGGAUUAAACCCACAGACGAAUUCAGUGUGAACAGAAAAUUAUACAUAGUUGAUUGUCGCCCAUGGACUAGCGCUCAGGCAAAUAAGUUAACACGUGGUGGAACAGAGUCAGCUAGUACUUAUCAAGAAGCUGAGAUUGUGUUUUUAGGAAUUCUGAAUAUCCAUGAUAUUAGAGGCAGUUUUACCGGCCUCCGGGAGUAUGUCAAUGCUUACGAAUCAAUUCAUCAAGUGGACUCCCUUUAG
rnacentral:rRNA from 1 species